rnacentral:rRNA from 1 species
AUGAUGUGGAUUAAUUCGAUGCAACGCGAAAACCUUACCUACCCUUGACAUGUCCGGAAUCCUGCAGAGAUGCGGGAGUGCCCGAAAGGGAAUCGGAACACAGGUGCUGCAUGGCUGUCGUCAGCUCGUGUCGUGAGAUGUUGGGUUAAGUCCCGCAACGAGCGCAACCCUUAUCAUUAGUUGCUACGCAAGGGCACUCUAAUGAGACUGCCGGUGACAAACCGGAGGAAGGUGGGGAUGACGUCAAGUCCUCAUGGCCCUUAUGGGUAGGGCUUCACACGUCAUACAAUGGUCGGUACAGAGGGUUGCCAAGCCGCGAGGGGGAGCCAAUCCCACAAAGCCGGUCGUAGUCCGGAUCGCAGUCUGCAACUCGACUGCGUGAAGUCGGAAUCGCUAGUAAUCGCGGAUCAGCAUGUCGCGGUGAAUACGUUCCCGGGUCUU